GAUGAACGCUGGCGGCGUGCCUAAUACAUGCAAGUCGAGCGAACAGACGAGGAGCUUGCUCCUCUGACGUUAGCGGCGGACGGGUGAGUAACACGUGGAUAACCUACCUAUAAGACUGGGAUAACUUUGGGAAACCGGAGCUAAUACCGGAUAAUAUAUUGAACCGCAUGGUUCAAUAGUGAAAGACGGUUUUGCUGUCACUUAUAGAUGGAUCCGCGCCGCAUUAGGUAGUUGGUAAGGUAACGGCUUACCAAGGCAACGAUGCGUAGCCGACCUGAGAGGGUGAUCGGCCACACUGGAACUGAGACACGGUCCAGACUCCUACGGGAGGCAGCAGUAGGGAAUCUUCCGCAAUGGGCGAAAGCCUGACGGAGCAACGCCGCGUGAGUGAUGAAGGUCUUCGGAUCGUAAAACUCUGUUAUUAGGGAAGAACAAAUGUGUAAGUAACUAUGCACGUCUUGACGGUACCUAAUCAGAAAGCCACGGCUAACUACGUG
rnacentral:rRNA from 1 species